GGUCCACAGGAGGGCUUCCUGUGAACAAUGGAGGGACCGGAUGUGUUUGACUCCAUCAAUCCCACCUUUCAAUCCACUCUGUGUCUCCCCACUUUUUGCCUUUGGCUUUCUGGGGGGGGGGGGGCGUUGGCCCACAUCGGUCUGCAUUUAGCUUUUCGCCGAUGGGACCGGCUUGCCACAACCAAGAAAGUUUAAGCUCAACUUCAACACGUUCUGGGCCAGAAAGUGAAGACCAGACAGUUGAAUGGGAAAAAGAAAAGGAGUGUGAACUAUCGCAAGGGAGACAAGAAAAGAUGUGGCAGAGGAAGUGCCUUCGAACUACAACGAGCGAGGAAAGAAAGAAAAAAAAAUGAGAAUACCAGCUCGACAGUCCAGAAAUGCCUGGGAUUUGUGAGGCCUCGGGUUCAAUUCCCAGUACUGGAGGAGUUUAAAUUAAGAUAUGUAUAUGCAAGG
rnacentral:lncRNA from 1 species